rnacentral:tRNA from 1 species
GGGCGAUUAGCUCAGUUGGUAGAGCAGAUGACUCUUAAUCAUCGGGUCGUAGGUUCGAUCCCUACAUCGCCCACCA